UACGGAGGGGGCUAGCGUUGUUCGGAAUUACUGGGCGUAAAGCGCACGUAGGCGGCUUUGCAAGUUAGAGGUGAAAGCCCGGGGCUCAACUCCGGAAUUGCCUUUAAAACUGCAUCGCUAGAAUUGUGGAGAGGUAAGUGGAAUUCCGAGUGUAGAGGUGAAAUUCGUAGAUAUUCGGAAGAACACCAGUGGCGAAGGCGGCUCACUGGCCCGAUACUGACGCUGACGGCACGAAAGCGUGGGGAGCAAACAGGA
rnacentral:rRNA from 1 species